rnacentral:rRNA from 1 species
AUUGAACGCUGGCGGCAUGCUUUACACAUGCAAGUCGAACGGUAACAGGGAGCUUGCUCCGCUGACGAGUGGCGAACGGGUGGGUAAUGCGUCGGAACGUGCCGAGUAGUGGGGGAUAACGCAUCGAAAGGUGUGCUAAUACCGCAUACGUACUGAGGUAGAAAGUGGGGGACCUUCGGGCCUUCCGCUAUUCGAGCGGCCGACGUCUGAUUAGCUAGUUGGUGAGGUAAAGGCUCACCAAGGCGACGAUCAGUAGCGGGUCUGAGAGGAUGAUCCGCCACACUGGGACUGAGACACGGCCCAGACUCCUACGGGAGGCAGCAGUGGGGAAUUUUGGACAAUGGGCGCAAGCCUGAUCCAGCCAUGCCGCGUGUCUGAAGAAGGCCUUCGGGUUGUAAAGGACUUUUGUCCGGGAGCAAAUGCCUGGUGUUAAUAGCACUGGGAGCUGAGAGUACCGGAAGAAUAAGCACCGGCUAACUACGUGCCAGCCGCCGCCGUAAGAC